GAUGGUUGGCGAGUGCGAAGCGGUUCUCGAGAUACCGUAUCGUGUCCUUCCGGCGCGAUUACCGGCACGUGUAGGGCAUUCUGCCGCCGUGAGGAGGAGCUACCAUAGGCCUUGACUGAUCAAAUUCAUCAUUUGUGCCGAUCCGUCAACCCGUUGAGGGCAGCCUGACGACACCAGAAGGAGCUUCCUGCGGCCCUACUGUGUGACGCUCCUGCUCUGAAUUGACACUUAUAAAGCUACCGUCCCCACCAAGGCUCCAUUGCAGCAGCGACAGCGGGAUGGUCACGUACUGAAGUGAAUUCUGUCUUUCGUGCAGGUUAGUAGUUAAGUAUUCUAAGGUUACCCUUCUGUUCAAUUCGCUGUUGCUGCUGCUACCGAAGUACUGUAGUUUUUUUUUUCUUUUGCAAUUUAUGGUGUGACUGAAACUUGUUAAGCGAUGCCGACGUGUGCCAAACUUGCGAAGCGCAUUGAUGCAAUUGAAGCGAACUUUAACAAUGAGACUGACCGUCUGGCUUAUGAUGUCUUCGGUAAAGCCUUGUUGAGAAUGCAAUCUUCAGGAAUUGAUGUUAAGGAGCUCAAAAGCGAAAUUGACGAUUUAAAACAGAGCAUGGAAAUCCUGAAUGACGUUGUUGAGACACUGCGCUCAGAAAAAGAGGUACUCGCUGCCGAUAAUAAAAGACUGUUGAACGAAAA